CGCUAGCUCAGUUGGUUAGAGCAGCUGACUCUUAAUCAGCGGGUCCGGGGUUCGAGUCCCUGGCG
rnacentral:tRNA from 1 species